GGGUCCUUAGCUCAGUUGGUAGUAGCGGCUCCCUUACAAGGAGUAGGUCGGCGGUUCGACCCCGUCAGGACCCACCA
rnacentral:tRNA from 1 species